rnacentral:rRNA from 1 species
GACGAACGCUGGCGGCGUGCCUAAUACAUGCAAGUCGAGCGAAUCGAUGGGAGCUUGCUCCCUGAGAUUAGCGGCGGACGGGUGAGUAACACGUGGGUAACCUGCCUGUAAGACUGGGAUAACUUCGGGAAACCGGAGCUAAUACCGGAUACUUUCUUUUCUCGCAUGAGGGAAGAUGGAAAGAUGGUUCUGCUAUCACUUACAGAUGGACCCGCGGCGCAUUAGCUAGUUGGUGAGGUAACGGCUCACCAAGGCGACGAUGCGUAGCCGACCUGAGAGGGUGAUCGGCCACACUGGGACUGAGCCACGGCCCUGACUCCUACGGGAGGCAGCAGUAGGGAAUCUUCCGCAAUGGACGAAAGUCUGACGGAGCAACGCCGCGUGAGCGAAGAAGGCCUUCGGGUCGUAAAGCUCUGUUGUUAGGGAAGAACAAGUACGAGAGUAACUGCUCGUACCUUGACGGUACCUAACCAGAAAGCCACGGCUAACUACGUGCCAGCAGCCGCGGUAACAC